rfam:Populus trichocarpa scaffold_4_contig_327, whole genome shotgun sequence.
UUUAGAACUCGAGAUAUGGGCUGAACACUGAACAAUGUCUGGGCUGCAGGACAUAUUCUGACUUCUCUGUUGUUGCUACAAUUUGAACUUGAAAACGGUCCUUUUGAAUCUUGGACUCUUCAUGAAAGUUUUAGGCCUAUGUCUUAGUUUUCUAUC